rnacentral:rRNA from 1 species
CGAACGCUGGCGGCGUGCCUAAUACAUGCAAGUUGAGCGCUGAAGGUUGGUACUUGUACCAACUGGAUGAGCAGCGAACGGGUGAGUAACGCGUGGGGAAUCUGCCUUUGAGCGGGGGACAACAUUUGGAAACGAAUGCUAAUACCGCAUAAAAACUUUAAACACAAGUUUUAAGUUUGAAAGAUGCAAUUGCAUCACUCAAAGAUGAUCCCGCGUUGUAUUAGCUAGUUGGUGAGGUAAAGGCUCACCAAGGCGAUGAUACAUAGCCGACCUGAGAGGGGGAUCGGCCACAUUGGGACUGAGACACGGCCCAAACUCCUACGGGAGGCAGCAGUAGGGAAUCUUCGGCAAUGGACGAAAGUCUGACCGAGCAACGCCGCGGGAGUGAAGAAGGUUUUCGGAUCGUAAAACUCUGUUGGUAGAGAAGAACGUUGGUGAGAGUGGAAAGCUCAUCAAGUGACGGUAACUACCCAGAAAGGGACGGCUAACUACGUG